rnacentral:rRNA from 1 species
CCGUACCGCAAACCGACACUGGUGCGCGAGAUGAGUAUUCUCAGGCGCUUGAGAGAACUCGGGAGAAGGUACUCGGCAAAUUGACACCGUAACUUCGGAAGAAGGUGUGCCUUUAGUAGGUGAACCCGUACAGGGGGAGCCCAAUGAGGUUGCAAAGAAUCGGUGGCUGCGACUGUUUAAUAAAAACACAGCACUCUGCAAACACGAAAGUGGACGUAUAGGGUGUGACGCCUGCCCGGUGCUGGAAGAUUAAGUGAUGGGGUGCAAGCUCUUGAUCGAAGUCCCAGUAAACGGCGGCCGUAACAAUAACGGUCCUAAGGUAGCGAAAUUCCUUGUCGGGUAAGUUCCGACCUGCACGAAUGGCGUAACGAUGGCCACACUGUCUCCUCCCGAGACUCAGCGAAGUUGAAAUGUUUGUGAUGAUGCAAUCUCCCCGCGGAAAGACGGAAAGACCCCAUGAACCUUUACUGUAGCUUUGUAUUGGACUUUGAACGGAUCUGUGUAGGAUAGGUGGGAGGCUUUGAAGCAGGGUCGCUAGAUCUUGUGGAGCCAACGUUGAAAUACCACCCUGGUGCGUUUGAGGUUCUAACCUAGGCCCGUUAUCCGGGUCGGGGACAGUGCAUGGUAGGCAGUUUGACUGGGGCGGUCUCCUCCCAAAGCGUAACGGAGGAGUUCGAAGGUACGCUAGUUACGGUCGGACAUCGUGACGAUGUGCAAUGGCAUAAGCGUGCUUAACUGCGAGACUGACAAGUCGAGCAGAUGCGAAAGCAGGACAUAGUGAUCCGGUGGUUCUGUAUGGAAGGGCCAUCGCUCAACGGAUAAAAGGUACUCUGGGGAUAACAGGCUGAUACCGCCCAAAAGUUCAUAUCGACGGCGGUGUUUGGCACCUCGAUGUCGGCUCAUCUCAUCCUGGGGCUGUAGCCGGUCCCAAGGGUAUGGCUGUUCGCCAUUUAAAGAGGUACGUGAGCUGGGUUUAAAACGUCGUGAGACAGUUUGGUCCCUAUCUUCCGUGGGCGCUGCAGAUUUGAGGAAGCCUGCUCCUAGUACGAGAGGACCGGAGUGGACGCACCUCUGGUGUACCUGUUGUCACGCCAGUGGCAUUGCAGGGUAGCUAAGUGCGGAAGAGAUAACCGCUGAAAGCAUCUAAGCGGGAAACUCGUUUCAAGAUGAGAUCUGCCGGGGCCUUGAGCCCCCUGAAGAGUCGUUCUAGACCAGGACGUUGAUAGGCUGGGUGUGGAAGCGCAGUAAUGCGUUAAGCUAACCAGUACUAAUUGCUCGUGCGGCUUGACCC